rnacentral:lncRNA from 10 species
AAGAUCUCUGAGCUCCAGGCCGCAACAAUUCAACUGCAUGUAAAGAUGGAGCCUCGUUUUGCUGCCUAGGCCGGAGUGCAGUGGCACAAUCUCGGCUCACUGCAACGCCCGCCUCCAGGGUUCAAGUGAUUCUCCUGCCUCAGCCUCCCAAAUAGCUGGGACUACAGGCACGCACUACCUUGUCCAGCUAAUUUUUGUAUUUUUAGUAGAGACGGGGUUUCACCAUGUUGGUCAGGCUGGUCUUGAAUUCCCGACCUCGUGAUCCAGAUGCCUCGGCUCCCCAAGGUGCGGGGAUUACAGGCGUGAGCCACUGUGCCCGGACUGAAACUGAUUUUGAACUUCUGUCUUCAGAAUUGUAUGCGAAUAAAUGUGUGUUCUUUUAAGCCAUCAAG